CAUUAUGGGGACCGUUGGAUUAAGGCGACAAAAAUUGGUCUCCUUAAUAUUUUCAGUCCAGAUUUGAUGUAUCAAAUGUCAAUAAAAAUGUCCAUUGACAGUAAGUUGAUAAGCUUGAAUGUUUAUUUACGAGAUCAUUUCAUUGUUUUAAAUAUUAUUCUCUUUUAAUAUUAAAAAAAAUAUUCUUAAACUUUUGUGUUAGUAUAUUUGUGUAUCCAUAAAAAUAGCUAUUAAGGCGACCAGGGAAAAAAUCAUAAUUUUGGUCAAAAAUAGCUAUAUACUAAGCAUUUUUUAUUUGUUUUACUUUAUUUAAAGCUUAUUGUAUAUUAUCCCGAAGUUUCAUUCCAUAAAAAACAGAAAUGAGGAAAUUCGAUAUUUCGUGUACCAUCAGCAUCCAAAUUUUCAAGUAUACAGAAAUUUAACUUUCCGGAAUAUAACGGAAAUUUUCGGGUAUCUCCGUGGUACCAUCUCCGUGCAAUUAUGCAGUAUGGCGUUCAUCUCUUACAGAAGGAGAAUGGUAACUUGAUACACUGUGUUGUGUGUGGAUAAGAAAUGCAGAGUGGUACCACCAAUCACCUAAGCCACCAUUCCCCUAACAGACAAAAGGCUCAUGGGGACAGUUCCUGCAGUUUACAGCAAAUUGUAGCCCUACAAACUUCAGAUACUGCCAAGCUUGGGUGCACUGGGCCGGUUAUCCAGCCGUGUGGAAUCAACAUCUCCAGCUGAACUUGGGCCGGGAAUUAUAUAAGAAUCCUUAGCAGCAUGAGUGCCAGCCAGUCAUUGCUGUUCUUUGCAUUGCUGAGGAGGACAGUCCUGCCAACAUAAUAGUUUGUUCAAUAACAGGAGACAAACAGAAACACAGAGGUGCUAUACAUUCCGAUGGAAAAUACAACAAAAGCAUCUCCCAUCAUUUUGGCGUGGCUCAGAUCAAGAGGAGAAUUUUAAGAAAGGUAAUAACUGAGCAACUAAGAACAUGCACGUUGCACUGGUCAGAGUGUAAGACCCAUCUCGCUUCAUAAGAAUUGAUAAUCAUCAAUGUAUUAAAUCAAGAAAUUGAAACGUAAGUGUCUUGCUUUUGUAGUGUUUUUGAAAUAGAAUAUAAUUUUUAAAAAAAACUAAAUUAUUUUUUAAUAUGAUUGUGAAUGUGUGAUGUUUUCUUCCGAUCAUUCUCUCUCAAAAACCAGAUACAAAAAACAUAUUUGUAGAUUUUUAUACGCCCGAAGGGUCGUAUUAUGUUAUGGCCUCCAUCGUCUGUCCGUCUGUCUGUCUGUCCGUCCGUCUGUCCGUCCGUUAGCAAUUCCGUGUCCGGGCCAUAACUUGGUAACUAACAAAGCAAUUUUCAAAUAACUUUAUACAAAUCAUCACUACAUUAAAAGGAUGUGUCGCGCGCAAUUUCCAGGUCCAUACCUCAAAGACUAGAAUCACCAUGGGGGGCGUUAGCAAUUCUGUGUCCGUGCCACAUCUUUGUUACUCGUCCGUUAGCAAGUCCGUGUCCGGGCCAUAACUUGGUAACUAAUAAAGCGAAUUUCAAAUAACUUUAUACAAAACAUCACUACAUUAAAAGGACCUCGAGCCGAAUCUUCUUCGGGCGUAUAAUGCUCCGUUUCGCGGUGCUCUUGUUUUGUUUUACUUGUAAAUAUAGUUUUAAGUUUGUAUUUUAGGCAAAGCCUUUUAUUCUGCUCAAUACAAACUUAAAUAUUGUAAGAGUUAUGGCCCUUUGUAAUUUUUAAACAAAUACAUUUUAUUUCAUGUUUUUGUAAGCCCAUUAUUUAGGGACUUUUAAUAUUUUCACCAGCAGCAUUAUAAAGUCAGACCAAAAGUGUCCAGUUAGUGUCCAAACAAUAACUAAGUUAGAAUCCUUUCUCAAAUCAGGUGAGCGAUAUAGGGCCAUCUCUGUGUUUGUCUGACAAAAAAACAAUAAUCAAUCUUUGAGUUGAAUUGACAAAAUAUUGUUGUAGAAUGUUUUGUGAAGACAUACUAUUGGAUUACUUUUGUGUCAAUAGGAUUAAGGUUUCUGCACAUAUAAAUUAUUUAGAAUAGCAUUUGGGUCAGUUGGUUCACGUUCAAUAUUACUGAUAGUAUAAGUGGAAGCAGUGACUUAAAAUUAAUUACCAAACAGUUUCUCCUCAAUUGCUUUGAGUUAACAUACGAGUUAUGAAACUUGGAAUACUAGUUCUUGGUGGCAUAAAUGAAAGACCUUGUUUUGUCACAUUGACUUGUAAUCAAGCACUAACUUCCUCUAAAAGAAUUUCAGGUGAUGGUUGGGCACACACAAGAAGACAUAGAUCACAUGUGUCCAGGCAUAUGAGUAGACAGGAGUUUCACACUCUGCCAAACUUACUUCAUCAGAGGAGCAGAAAGCUUCUCAAGAUCCCGCAGUGCACACUUAGAUAUAGUCUUUGACUACAACAAGGGGAUGAAAGUACAGAGAGGUCCAAUUGAAAUCAAUUCUGUGCUGCGUCAUUUCUUCAUUCUGGAAGUCGAUGGACAUGAUUGAUCAUGGCAUCAGGUGUGCAGUUUGUCGACUAUCAGCAGUCUUGUUCACCAGUUGUGCAACUUGAGCUGGUAGCUUUAUUGCUUGAAGCCACAGCAUAAGAGGGGGAAGGUGCAGGCUCAUCAAAAAGUCUCAAAAGUUGAAACUAGGAAAAGAAGUUUGUCAAGAGUGUGAAUCUAUUUGCUUUGAAAACCAUUGUUACGAUGAUUUGGUUUCCUUUGAAACUUGAUACAUACUAUGUGUAUGUUGAAUGAAUUGAGAUGCUUAAAUAAAGAACCGCUAUUCAAAUAUAAGGAAACUGCAUUUUUCAUACUAAAGGGUAAAUGAUUUCGCCAUUUCCUGUAUGUAUUUAAAUGAGAUAUGUUUCCACAAUUAAUAUUUUUAGGGAAUUUUUCUCAUCCUAAUGAAUGAGAUUAAAUUGUACAGCGUUAUAUGAGCUUAAUAUGUGUUUUCUGUUUCUUUAAAAUUGGUGAAAAAUUGUCAGAAGAUAAUUAGACCAGUAUCCAUUACUGCAAUCAUACAAUCAAAUAUACAGGGACAAACCCACUGGGCAUAUAAUAUAAUUAAACCCUGUUUAGGGGCACGAGGCAAACAGAGUUACUUUCAAACGUUAAAGCUGCACUCUCACAUUUUGGACGUUUUGACAACUUUUCUCAUAUUAUGUCUUGGAUUGGAACCAUCCAAUUUUUGCGAAAAAUUAAAUGGCAGAUUUUUCUAUUUAAGUUAAAACAUUGAUGUUUUAUGCACUUUUCUUAAACCGUUAGUAACAUUAAUUUUUGAACGGAAAUAUGAAAUCUGUGAUCUGAUCUUUUGUCAGCAAUCUUUUAUCAUUGGUUUGCAGAUAAUUACGCAAAAAAUUGCUCAUUCAAAAACAAAAAAAGUUGUGAAAACGGUAUAUCUGUGGGAGUGCAGCUCUAAAUGUUUAAUUUCUUGAUUUUACUACUGUAUUAGAAAUUACAGGGGUUGGGGCAUAUUUUUAGUGUUUUUAUUGCUUUUUAUUUUCAUACAGUCAUACUUUAUUCCUCAGGGCAUAACUUACAAAUAGACAAAACUGGAAAAUGGUCGUUUCAAAAGGCCAAAGAUAAUGCAAGUUGAACAAUCAUAUUGUUCAUGGCUUGUAUUUUUGGUGUAUUUUGUUGCAUAUGCUAUAGAAAAGUUGAAAGUUAAAAAUAAAUUCAUAGUUGAAAUGAUGGCUUUGAAUGGUAUUGUCAGAUGAGAAACGGCACUUUUAAGAAAUAGGUAUAAUGGUACUUUAUUUAUUUUGAUCAAUUUUAGAUAUUGUAUGAAAAUUAUAAUCUUAUUUAGUACAUGAGACCUAAACAGUUAUUGACAAUAUAACAAUGUGUAUAUGAAGCUUUAGAUCAACACUUAAAGCUGCACUCUUACAGAUUGUCAGUUAAGACACAAAAUUGUCUCAAAAUCUGCUGAUUUGGUUAUCAUUCCUUUAAUUCAGUCAUAUUAGAUAAUUCACAAUAGAACCCAUCAGAAAUGUAAAAGUGCCGAAAAUUUCAUUUACAUUAAAUUGUUCGUAAUGCUUUUAGCCAUAAAACAUCAUUUUUUUAACAUAAAUAUGAUAAACUGCUAUCUGAUCUUUUUUCAGCAGUCUUAUAUCACUUAAAAUUGGGUCUAGACAUUUAUGCAAAAAAAUUGUCCAUUUAUAGACAAACAAUAAAAGAGUACCGGUAGUCAAAACGAUCAAUCGGUGAGAUUGCAGCUUUAAAUACACCUUUUAAGACCGCUGUAAAAUUCCAAUGGUUUGCCUAAAUCUUUAAAGCUAGCAUACUGUUUAAUUAACAACAAUACUUAUUGUUUAAAAGUGUCAUGAUAUCUUUGUACAAUAAUUUUAUAUAAUUCA